rnacentral:rRNA from 1 species
CUUGGUCAUUUAGAGGAAGUAAAAGUCGUAACAAGGUUUCCGUAGGUGAACCUGCGGAAGGAUCAUUAACAAAUCAAAGAAGCGAUCGGCUUCGGCUGAGAGCGUGCUUCGGCACAACCACGAUAGAUGUUGACAACGUAGACACAAGGAACAAACUUUUAACAAUGGAUCUCUUGGCUCUUGCAGCGAUGAAGAACGCGGCGAACUGCGAAAAGUAAUGUGACCUGCAACCUUUGUGAAUCAUCCAAUCUUUGAAUGCACCUUGCACCAGCAUGCUGGUAUGCUUGUUUGAGUAUCACACACACUGAGAGUUGAGCAGUCAUUGACAUGAUGCUUGAAAUACGCGUCGAAGCUGUGCGGAUAAAUUCUAUCACAGUUUUGACAGCAGGUCUUUUGGACCUGAGAGUAAUAUUUAACAGCAGGUCCUUUGGACCUGAGAGCAAUAUUUAACAGCAGAGUUUGCUGCCAGGUCCUUUGGACCUGAUAGUAAAAUCAAGAAAAUGAUCUCAAAUCAAGCAAGGAGACCCGCUGAAUUUAAGCAUAUCAAUAAGCGGAGGA